GCAAUUUUAACAUGUACUCCAUCCAUGUAUGAUGCAAUUAAGUCACAUUGUGCUGAUACUGAGGAACGAGCCAUAUCUCAGCAUUAGACGUUCGGAAGAUAUACAAAAAAUCACAUGUUUCUUAUUAUAUUAUAUGUUAAUUAUACUAAGUUGCAAUUUGACAACUUACGAUGAUUUCAAUUUCUGAUCUUCAACGAAGCCAUAUUGAAUUCGCUACACACUUAAAAUCGAUAGAAAAACGAGAGAGAGAAUCGAUAAAACAUUAGUCUUUUAGAUUUUUAAGUAAAAUACAUAAUUUAAAAC
rnacentral:misc_RNA from 1 species